rnacentral:rRNA from 1 species
UUCAAUACUGUUGUGCUUGCGCAACAGUGUGCACUUUUCUCUUAGUAAGACGUUGUGAUCCAUUAGGAAUCGAUUGGCUAUCAAUAGGUCAAUCAAUAGGUUACCAAUAGGCCGGCAUUGAAVUUCUGGAUGGCAAACAGWGAAGUCUUUUGGCUGCGCAUAUUGCCUCUUGAGCGUGCCGUGUUCUGAUGUAACUGCCUGAUGGAUUUUAAAGAUUGUAUCAUUGAUGCUUGCAUCNCCCGACUUCGCGGUUGGGCAUAUGAUAUGUAUCCGAUCAACAACGGUUUCAUUUGGGAUACCUUUGGGACCCGUCUUGAAACACGGACCAAGGAGUCUAUCUAGUAUGCGAGUAAAUGGGAUUCCAUUUAGAAACCUAUUUGCGHAAAUAACUUGACUGUAAUUUAAUGGGAUUACGUGCACAUUUACCGUUAAAAGUGUGUGCACCUCCAUCCCGGGGUAUUUUCAUCACAUAUAUGGGCAACUAUAUAUAGAAAAUAUACCAUGAGCAUACUGGACAUGACCCGAAAGAUGGUGAACUAUGCCUGAUCAGGUUGAAGUCAGGGGAAACCCUGAUGGAGGACCGAAGCAAUUCUGACGUGCAAAUCG